UUAGAGCAAGGCCUGCAGCUCACUUGUCAGAGACAGUAGAGAGGGCAGGAUGUUCUCUUGCUGUCUUCGGACUACUAGAGGCUCAGGCCUUAAGAAAGACAACAAGAAAGGCCAUGAUGGUGUCUGGAGGCACAGGGUUCUCUCCUGCCUUCAAAAAACCUCUGGUCAUUUUCCCAAAAAGGAAAAAAUUUGACCAAGGCCAGCCAAGGCCUCACAGACCAGGCUGAGGAUGCUUCUGCUUGACAGGACCUGAUGGAGUCACAGAGAGAGUCAAGCAUCAGGGCACAGAGUGCAGCUGAGCACAUGGACAUCCUGGUGUCUCCGCUGUCUGCAUACCGACGUUUUGCCACCCUCUACAGAUAUUGGACCUGCUGUUUGUGAGGCACUCAUACCUCAGCCCUUACUCUAAAGAGGAUGAACAAGUAAAGAACACCCUCUGGAGCUUCCUGGAAACAUGGAUGGACAAGAACCCAUGGAUGGACUUUUGUGACCCAUCAGACAUGUUGCCUCUGCAAUACCUGGAGGCCUACUUGAGUGUGUACAUACCCAACUCUGAUCUUAUUGUCCGGGUCAAGAUCCUCCUGACCCAGUUGCAGGAAAAACAUGCCAAGGAUUCACAGGCCAAAGAUGAGGAAGAUUCAGAUCUGGAGAGACACAUCCUCAGAUCAACAGAUUGAAUGUGUGUAAAUCAGCAGGGAAAAGAGCCACUAUGGAGCCAGAAACAACUUGUGCACCAGAGCUGGAGGGCACAAAAACCUCCAGAAGUUUCUGUGAUGCAUGAGACGUUUCAGCCAAAUGUGACAGCAGCAGUCCAGACAGCAGACAUGAUAGCAGCUGUGGAACCUGUGUCUCAGUUUGUCUGUAGAUACAAUGUGUCUUUCAGUCAUCUCCUGCUUGCUACACUGGGCCUACCUAUUAAGAUAAUGGCCCUGUCACCUCUGGUCAUCAAUUUGAGUCUGUCCUGCCUCUGAGCUGCUGUUCCUGCCCCUCAUGAUCAGCUGCCUAUUUCAAUCCAUCACUAGUUCCAACCCCACAGCCAGCCUUCCCCUCCCCUGAGCAAUAGCCGUUUUACUCCUUCUGAUAUUUUCAAUGUUGUCUUUAUUUUAAGUAUUGGUUUUAAUAAAUUGUUAGUAUUUGGUUUACUUUUUCUUAA